AAGGAAGAGGACAGUGAUGAAUCCAAGAAGAUGCAUUGCUUCCCAUGACGCUGUAUGUCGUUCUGCAUGUCUUCCCCUCAAGUAUAUACUCCCUUCUUAAAUGUGGAGGUGCCAUUUCUGUGGCUCUCAAAGCAGGCUGUUUGGGCUCUCCAGGCAUCCACAGUAAAGGAGAGGGAGCAGGAAUUUGGGUUGGAGGCUACACGAUGACAGAGUGAGGUCCAUGACAGGUAAGGGGGAGAAUGCCUUUUUCACAGGGAGAAAAUACGAAGAGGGAAGAUGAGGUAAGGCGGAGAGAGAGACACACACACCAGGCACAUGGGCAACUGCAGGCUGCCAGGGCCAUCCACUCAUGUCAAUCUGAACCGCUGGCGCAUGGUUUCUGGCAGCAGGAAGAACUCCCUUUGAGCUGAAGCAUUUCUCAUGCCAUAGAUGGGAGCUUUAUAUUCACCCCUCAAAGGCUAAAUUGUCCCUGUCAGCUAGACUGCUUUUGGGUUCAGUGUAAUUAGUUCUUAUUUGUACUGCUGUAAAAUACCAAGAGGAAAAAAUAGCCCAGCCCCUUAGCAAUUACUUCAUAGUAUAUGUGAAUGCUCAGGUGCUUUCCUGACAGACAUGACUUCAGGGUUUAGGCACUUCUCCUAAGAUUUCAUUGCCAGCAUAUUGGAACGAGGAAGCAUUGCUCCGAGUUGCUUUUUGCUUGCAGGAAACGGGGGGUUCCUUUUUGGUUUAAAUUCGGGGACACAUACCCAGUUUACAAGGGCAUGCGUGCUGUCCCAAAGCGUGUAUGAGCAUGCAGAGUCUCUGGGUGCAUGAGCACAUACUCCCUCUCCGCCUCUCCUAGCAUCAAGCUACUAAGCCAAAUUGUGGUAAUGAAAAUAUGAGUUUAGUGGAGGAGCAGGAAGGGCCACAGCACAGAGGUAGCGAAAGGUCCCAGGUUCAACCCCUGGCUUCUUCAGGUAGUGACCCCCGCCUGAAACUCUGCUGAGCCACUGUCAGCCUGUGUAGAUGGACUAAAAGGUCUGACUCCGCAUAAGGCAGCUUCUAACAUUCCUAGCAAAGGGUCAAAUGGUCUUGUGAUGGACAAAACAUGCAGGGAGCAAGCAAUUCUAAUCACAUUUACACACCUGGGCAGAGUGGAUCUGGCGGCAAAGUUGGAAGGGCUGGAGAAUACAUGCAGCCCUGUGUUUUAGGGACUCUAGUUAUCAGUGAGCAAAAGACAGUCAUUGAAAAUGAAACUUUUGGAAGCAUAUCUAGUAGCUACUAACUUUUGCCUGCUCCAUUUAAAAACAAAAACAAAACAAUAGUGAACAUUAUCAUAUGCACAGCCUAUCAGUGAAUUUCAUGGGUUAAUGAUUUUUGUGUAUAAAUUUUUUUCUUCUUGAACCUCUGAUUUUUCAAUGGUUCUGUUCAGUAACACAAGAAUGAGCCUAGCCUUAAGCAUAUCUGCUUCCCACUUCCCUCUUUUCCUCUGACGUGGCCAUGAAAGAUUGAUAACAUUUUUUAAAUAAAAUUUUUAUUAAUUUUCACAAAAUUAUAAACAAAACAAACAAAUAAACAAACAAACAUGGAUCAUAACCUUAUUAAAAUUACACUUAUUAACAUUGUUAAGUGACUUCCUCGCUUCCCCUUGGUUGAAUUUCCAUGCACUUCUUUUUAACGGUUUUCCAAAUCAAAGUUCUUAUGAAAUUUAACUUAAACAUUAACAUCCUUAUAUCCUUUAAUUUUAAAAUUAAACAUAUUGAUUCAUCACUUAACUUAUAUGAAAUCCUAAGCCAAUAAAAUAUCUGCAAGCUAUUUCCAAUUAACUUAAUUUUACAUAUUUAACUAAAUAAUCAUUAAAUUUUGUCCAUUCUUCCUGAUACUCCUCCUCCUUCUGGUCGCGGACUCUUCAGGUUAGGUCGGCUAGCUCCGAAAACUCCAUCAUCUUCAUCUGCCCAAUUACAUUUUAGAGUAACCUCAGUUUGGUGUAUUGUCUGAACCCUAGACUGUGGCAUGUGUUAACUAUGGUUAGUUCAAAACAGUCUCUUGCAUACUGUAUGGGGUGCAAAUAAAUGCCUCCUUCCUAUCAGCUACUUCUUCUUCUUCUCUGUAUGGAUAAAGAUCCCUAUGUUUCACUUUCAGGUCCUCUAAAACCAUAGGAAUACAGCUGGAAGAGCUCUCUUUGAUCAACCUUGCUGUGCACCCAAGAGCAGACAAAGAAUUAAAGUACAUCCAAGAGUGCAAGACAAAAAUUUAUGACCGUAAAGGCUGGCUUAAAAAGAAC
rnacentral:lncRNA from 1 species